rnacentral:rRNA from 1 species
GGGGAAGGGUAGCUUGCUACCUGACCUAGCGGCGGACGGGUGAGUAAUGCUUAGGAAUCUGCCUAUUAGUGGGGGACAACAUUCCGAAAGGAAUGCUAAUACCGCAUACGCCCUACGGGGGAAAGCAGGGGAUCUUCGGACCUUGCGCUAAUAGAUGAGCCUAAGUCAGAUUAGCUAGUUGGUGGGGUAAAGGCCUACCAAGGCGACGAUCUGUAGCGGGUCUGAGAGGAUGAUCCGCACACUGGGACUGAGACACGGCCCAGACUCCUACGGGAGGCAGCAGUGGGGAAUAUUGGACAAUGGGCGAAAGCCUGAUCCAGCCAUGCCGCGUGUGUGAAGAAGGCCUUUUGGUUGUAAAGCACUUUAAGCGAGGAGGAGGCUACUGAGAUUAAUACUCUUGGAUAGUGGACGUUACUCGCAAGAAUAAGCACCGGCUAACUUCUGUGCCAGCAAGCCGCGGUAAUACAGAAGGUGCGAGCGGUUAAUCGGAUUUUCCCGGG